GAUGAACGCUGGCGGCGUGCCUAAUACAUGCAAGUAGAACGCUGAAGGAAGGAGCUUGCUCUUUCCGGAUGAGUUGCGAACGGGUGAGUAACGCGUAGGUAACCUGCCUGGUAGCGGGGGAUAACUAUUGGAAACGAUAGCUAAUACCGCAUAACAGUAGAUGUUGCAUGAUAUCUACUUAAAAGGUGCAAUUGCACCACUACCAGAUGGACCUGCGUUGUAUUAGCUAGUUGGUGAGGUAACGGCUCACCAAGGCGACGAUACAUAGCCGGCCUGAGAGGGUGAUCGGCCACACUGGGACUGAGACACGGCCCAGACUCCUACGGGAGGCAGCAGUAGGGAAUCUUCGGCAAUGGACGGAAGUCUGACCGAGCAACGCCGCGUAAGUGAAGAAGGUUUUCGGAUCGUAAAGCUCUGUUGUAAGAGAAGAACGAGUGUGAGAGUGGAAAGUUCACACUGUGACGGUAUCUUACCAGAAAGGGACGGCUAACUACGUG
rnacentral:rRNA from 1 species